rnacentral:rRNA from 1 species
AACGAACGCUGGCGGCGUGGAUAAGACAUGCAAGUCGAACGGGACGAGGUUUGUAGCAAUACAAACUUCGUUUAGUGGCGCACGGGUGCGUAACACGUGAGCAAUCUGCCGGGAAGUGGGGGAUAGCUCGCCGAAAGGCGAAUUAAUACCGCAUGUGGCCAUCCUUCGAAUGAAGGAAAAGCCAAAGCAGCAAUGCGCUUCCUGAUGAGCUCGCGGCCUAUCAGCUAGAUGGCGGGGUAACGGCCCACCAUGGCUAUGACGGGUAGCUGGUCUGAGAGGACGACCAGCCACACUGGAACUGAGAUACGGUCCAGACACCUACGGGUGGCAGCAGUCGAGAAUUUUUCACAAUGGGGGAAACCCUGAUGGAGCGACGCCGCGUGGAGGAUGAAGGUCUUCGGGCUGUAAACUCCUGUCAUGCGGGAACAAGAACGUGAUAGUACCGCAAGAGGAAGAGACGGCUAACUCUGUGCCAGCCGCCGCGGUAAGAC